GAUGAACGCUGGCGGCGUGCCUAAUACAUGCAAGUCGAGCGAACAGACGAGGAGCUUGCUCCUCUGACGUUAGCGGCGGACGGGUGAGUAACACGUGGAUAACCUACCUAUAAGACUGGGAUAACUUCGGGAAACCGGAGCUAAUACCGGAUAAUAUAUUGAACCGCAUGGUUCAAUAGUGAAAGACGGUUUUGCUGUCACUUAUAGAUGGAUCCGCGCCGCAUUAGCUAUUUGGUAAGGUAACGGCUUACCAAGGCAACGAUGCGUAGCCGACCUGAGAGGGGGAUCGGCCACACGGGAACUGAGACACGGUCCAGACUCCUACGGGAGGCAGCAGUAGGGAAUCUUCCGCAAGGGGCGAAAGCCUGACGGAGCAACGCCGCGUGAGGGAUGAAGGUCUUCGGAUCGUAAAACUCUGUUAUUAGGGAAGAACAAAUGUGUAAGUAACUAUGCACGUCUUGACGGUACCUAAUCAGAAAGCCACGGCUAACUACGUG
rnacentral:rRNA from 1 species